rnacentral:rRNA from 1 species
GGGUCAGUAGGUUGGUCGUGCCACCGGUACGUACUGGUCUCACUGAUUCCUCCUUCCUGAAGAACCGUAAUGCCAUUAAUUUGGUGUUGCGGGGAAACAGGACUGUUACUUUGAAAAAAUUAGAGUGUUUAAAGCAAGCUAACGCUUGAAUACAUUAGCAUGGGAUAAUGAAAUAGGGCGAUCGAUCCUAUUUUGUUGGUUUCUAGGAUUGACGUA